rnacentral:rRNA from 1 species
GACGUAGGAUGCAAGCGUUGUCCGGAUUUAUUGGGCGUAAAGAGUUCGUAGGCGGUUCGUUAAGUCUGGUGUAAAAGACUGGGGCUCAACCCUGGGAUCGCACUGGAUACUGGCGGACUGGAGUGUGGUAGAGGCAAGUGGAAUUCCCAGUGUAGCGGUGAAAUGCGUAGAUAUUGGGAAGAACACCGGUGGCGAAAGCGACUUGCUGGGCCCUAACUGACACUGAGGAACGAAAGCUAGGGGAGCGAAUGGG